GACGAACGCUGGCGGCGUGCCUAAUACAUGCAAGUUGAGCGAUGAAGAUUGGUGCUUGCACCAAUUUGAAGAGCAGCGAACGGGUGAGUAACGCGUGGGGAAUCUGCCUUUGAGCGGGGGACAACAUUUGGAAACGAAUGCUAAUACCGCAUAAUAACUUUAAACAUAAGUUUUAAGUUUGAAAGAUGCAAUUGCAUCACUCAAAGAUGAUCCCGCGUUGUAUUAGCUAGUUGGUGAGGUAAAGGCUCGCCAAGGCGAUGAUACAUAGCCGACCUGAGAGGGUGAUCGGCCACAUUGGGACUGAGACACGGCCCAAACUCCUACGGGAGGCAGCAGUAGGGAAUCUUCGGCAAUGGACGAAAGUCUGACCGAGCAACGCCGCGUGAGUGAAGAAGGUUUUCGGAUCGUAAAACUCUGUUGGUAGAGAAGAACGUUGGUGAGAGUGGAAAGCUCAUCAAGUGACGGUAACUACCCAGAAAGGGACGGCUAACUACGUG
rnacentral:rRNA from 1 species